rnacentral:lncRNA from 1 species
ACCAGAAGUUACUCGACUAUAAUUCUCCAGAUAUUCGAAUAACCAGAAGUUAUUCGAGUAUAUCUGUUUCCAGAUAUUCGACUAUCCCAGAAGAUAUUCGAAUACCGCUCCCAGAUAGUCGACUAUCACAUAAACUAUUCGACUAUCCACGGUCAAAUUUCAAAAAUCUGACAGUUUUAUAGCCGUUCAAAUCAGUCCAAAAAUCUGAUUUUUACCAUUCAAUGCUAU